GUUGUCCUACGGGGCGCAGCAGUGAGGAAUAUUGGUCAAUGGGCGGGAGCCUGAACCAGCCAAGCCGCGUGAAGGAAGAAGGCGCCAAGCGUCGUAAACUUCUUUUGUCGGGGAACAAAGGGCGCCACGUGUGGCGUUGUGAGUGUACCCGAAGAAAAAGCAUCGGCUAACUCCGUGCCAGCAGCCGCGGUAAUACGGAGGAUGCGAGCGUUAUCCGGAUUUAUUGGGUUUAAAGGGUGCGUAGGCGGGCUUUUAAGUCAGCGGUAAAAAUUCGGGGCUCAACCCCGUCCGGCCGUUGAAACUGG
rnacentral:rRNA from 1 species